GAUGAACGCUGGCGGCGUGCCUAAUACAUGCAAGUCGAGCGAACAGACGAGAAGCUUGCUCCUCUGAUGUUAGCGGCGGACGGGUGAGUAACACGUGGAUAACCUACCUAUAAGACUGGGAUAACUUCGGAAAACCGGAGCUAAUACCGGAUAAUAUUUUGAACCGCAUGGUUCAAAAGUGAAAGACGGUCUUGCUGUCACUUAUAGAUGGAUCCGCGCUGCAUUAGCUAGUUGGUAAGGUAACGGCUUACCAAGGCAACGAUGCAUAGCCGACCUGAGAGGGUGAUCGGCCACACUGGAACUGAGACACGGUCCAGACUCCUACGGGAGGCAGCAGUAGGGAAUCUUCCGCAAUGGGCGAAAGCCUGACGGAGCAACGCCGCGUGAGUGAUGAAGGUCUUCGGAUCGUAAAACUCUGUUAUUAGGGAAGAACAAAUGUGUAAGUAACUAUGCACGUCUUGACGGUACCUAAUCAGAAAGCCACGGCUAACUACGUG
rnacentral:rRNA from 1 species